UGGGGAAUAUUGCACAAUGGGCGAAAGCCUGAUGCAGCAACGCCGCGUGAGGGACGACGGCCUUCGGGUUGUAAACCUCUUUUAGCAAGGAAGAAGCGAAAGUGACGGUACUUGCAGAAAAAGCGCCGGCUAACUACGUGCCAGCAGCCGCGGUAAUACGUAGGGCGCAAGCGUUAUCCGGAAUUAUUGGGCGUAAAGAGCUCGUAGGCGGUUUGUCGCGUCUGCUGUGAAAACCCGAGGCUCAACCUCGGGCCUGCAGUGGGUACGGGCAGACUAGAGUGCGGUAGGGGAGAUUGGAACUCCCGGUGCAGCGGUGGAAUGCGCAGAUAUCAGGAAGAACACCGAUGGCGAAGGCAGAUCUCUGGGCCGUAACUGACGCUGAGGAGCGAAAGGGUGGGGAGCAAACAGGGCUUAGAUACCCUGGUAGUCCACCCCGUAAACGUUGGGAACUAGUUGUGGGUCCAUUCCACGGAUUCCGUGACGCAGCUAACGCAUUAAGUUCCCCGCCUGGGGAGUACGGCCGCAAGGCUAAAACUUAAAGGAAUUGACGGGGUCAUAGCUGUUUCC
rnacentral:rRNA from 1 species